UCCCGGCGUGCCGUUGGUCUGCACAGGCCGGAGGGCGCGGAGCCGGCUCGGGAACCGAUGGAAGCGGCCUCGCCGCUGCCCCCGGUCUAUGUCUGCAGCCCGGAGUACCUGGCGCUGUGCGACUCGCUCUGCAAAGUGCCUAAACGGGCCAGUAUGGUGCAUUCUUUGAUCAAAGCAUAUUCCUUACUUGACCACAUGAGGAUAGUCAAGCCCAAAGUGGCUUCCAUGGAGGAGAUGGCAAGCUUUCACACUGAUGCCUAUCUGCAGCACCUCCAGAAGGUCAGUGAGGAGGGGGACGAUGACCACCCAGAGUCCGUGGAGUAUGGACUGGGUUAUGACUGUCCAGCCACUGAAGGUAUCUUUGACUAUGCAGCAGCUGUAGGAGGGGCCAGCAUCACAGCAGCCCAGUGUCUGAUGGACGGCAAGUGCAAGGUAGCGAUUAACUGGCCUGGAGGGUGGCAUCAUGCAAAGAAAGAUGAAGCUUCUGGCUUUUGCUACCUAAACGACGCCGUCCUGGGCAUCCUGUGGCUGCGUCGGAAAUUCGACCGCAUCCUUUAUAUUGACUUGGACUUGCAUCAUGGGGAUGGUGUGGAAGAUGCCUUUAGUUUCACCUCCAAAGUCAUGACUGUGUCUCUGCAUAAGUUUUCACCAGGAUUUUUCCCAGGAACAGGAGAUGUGUCUGAUGUUGGCCUGGGGAAGGGGCGAUAUUACAGUGUCAACGUACCUAUCCAGGAUGGCAUUCGGGAUGAGAAAUAUUACCAGAUCUGCGAGACUGUGUUGAAGGAGGUGUACAUGACAUUCAACCCAGAAGCGGUAGUCCUGCAGCUGGGAGCAGAUACGAUAGCCGGGGACCCCAUGUGUUCAUUUAACAUGACUCCAGUGGGGAUUGGCAAGUGUCUGAAGUACGUUCUCCAGUGGCAGCUGGCUACUCUCAUCCUGGGAGGAGACAGGAGGCUACAACCUUGCCAACACAGCCCGCUGCUGGACAUACUUGACCGGGGUCAUCCUGGGGAGAAUGCUACCCUCCGAGAUCCCAGAUCACGAGUUUUUCACAAAGUAUGGUCCUGAUUACGUGCUGGAGAUCACACCGAGCUGCAGGCCAGACCGCAACGAGCCACACAAAGUCCAAGAAAUCCUCAGCAUCAUCAAAGGGAAUCUGAAGCAUGUGGUUUAGCUGAAAAGGAAAGCUCAUGUUUCCACAACAGUGGAGCGUUUCCUGUGCCAAAGACAGUGUGUUUAUGUGAGCAGCUUGCGGAAUUCGUGGCUGCAGGGGAAAUUUGGGAGAAUUGGGGUUUUUUUUGACGUUUCCAAGCAGCAGUGAGUGGCCCCAGUGCUGGGGGGUAGGGGAGCUCCCAAUUUCCACCCCCUUGUUCCAACAGAUUCCGGCUUAUUUUUUACAAAACUGCUUUUAUUCUUGCAGAUGUUUUUUCUAAUUAUUUUUUUUAAGGGAGGUGGUGGGUGAGGGCCACUCUGAGCCACAGACUCUCCACAGUCUGGCACCUGUGCCACUUGUACUGGGCCGCCCUCCUGGUGGGACCACAGGCUGUAGGUGUAGACGCUGUGACAUGAACUCCAGAGGGGAUACAUUGAGCGAUAGGCACAGGUCCUGUAAUCCUGGCUGCAGCCUUAUCUGUGGAGGGAGCCACA